AUUGGACUGAAAAAGGUGCCAUGAAAAAAAGUCAAUAACUGAAAGGGACUUUUAUCAAACAGUUGGUGUGCGAAAUGUGAUAUCGAAACAGAAAGCAAAAGGGUAAGGAAAAAGGUGGUGUGGAGUUUAGCUAGUAGGCUUGAAAAGAUGCUAAGAUGGCGCAGAGCCUGCAGAUUGGUGGGUUUUUUGUAUUUACAUGGGCAAACUUUUUCAACUCAACAAAUUAUUUGAAUAUGAUAAGAAGAAAGACAAAUGGGGGAAAACGCCAUUAGAGAAAGCUGAAAUUGAUGUGUGGAGAAAGCGAAAGUUGAACAAACUUUU
rnacentral:lncRNA from 1 species